AGACACGUGAAGUUCUGCAGCAGCGCCCAUUUCUCGCGCUGGAACCUCGCGCUGGAGUCACGCGCCGCGGGGCUCUCCAGCACCCAGAACACGCCGGUGCCCAGCGCCAGAACUGGUCUCUUCACAUGUGGACUUUGGUCUCCCUCCCGUUCCCACACACCCAGAGAGGCCAGGACGGAACAUUCCGGAACACGAUCACUCCCUGGAGACCCUCACCCUUGGGAGCAGCUCUUGCUCUAGGCCCAGCUGUCUCCCACAGCCAACCUGAAGCACUCCAUCCUGCCGAGGAGGGGCCUUGAUUCAGCGAGGGUACUGAAUGUGGGGCCCCCAGUGUGACCCUCCAUUUUUCUGUAAGAAUCCACACAUGUAGAAAAAGCCAGACACGAAUCCUGUGAA